GGGGUUGUGGCUCAGAGGUAGAGCAUCCACCUAGCAUGUGCGAGGCACUGGGUUUGAUCCUCAGCACCACA
rnacentral:tRNA from 1 species